GGCUAAUUGUCACAAAAUGAUUUAUUGAAUCAUCUAUCUUUUCCCUGCAGAUGUUAAGCACCAGUUUCAUCAUAUGCUCAAUCUCUGUAUGGUUCUGGAUCUAUUUCUGGACAUUUGAAUCUGUUCCAUUGGCCAUUAAUCUAUUCCUGGAUGAUAGCAUGCUGCUUUUAUUAUUGUAGCUUUAUUAUUAAUUUAAAUAUGUGGGAGAGCUACUCCCUCAUCAUUAGCCAGAAAUAGUCUGAAAAAGAAGAAUUUUUACAAGAUUGCUUUUUUGCAUUUGCACUCCAUACCAACUUUCUCUGAUUCUUAAAAUUUUUGACUUAUUCCACUAAAUGGUCAUGUUUAUUACAUUAAGCUUAGGAACUUCUUCAGUUUAGUUUUUUUAAAAAUAUGUAAUUCUGUAUGGUCCUUAUGGAAAAAUCAUAUCAUGUCUUUGUUCAAUGGUUGUAUUUGUUGUAGUUGUUUGGUUUGGAUUGGUUUUGGUUUUGUUUGUUCAUUUUUUCUGUGGUGCUGGGCAUUGAACCCAGGGAUGCUCUACCACUAAACUAUACCUGCAACCCUUUUUGAUAUUUAUUUUGAGGCAGGGUUUAAGUUGCCCAAGCUGUCCUCAAACUUGUGUUCCUCCUGCCUCAGACUCUUGAAUCCAUGGGUUAUGGGCAUGUGUCACCAUUUCUAGUCUGUUUUAAAGUUUUGGUCUCUAUUUAUGUAUGCACUAUCCUCCUCCCCUAUAUGGAAAAAGACAAAUUGUUACAUGUAGGAUUAAAUAUAUGUGUGUUAGCAAAGGCAAUCAGGCAUAAGGAGAGACAUAGAUAAAACCCACGUAGGAAGGAACUCAAAGCAAUCCAUUUUCUGUUCUGUGGUCAGCCUCCUUUCUCCUCUCAUGGGUGGUAA
rnacentral:lncRNA from 1 species